rnacentral:rRNA from 1 species
CCCUUAGAUGUUCUGGGCCGCACGCGCGCUACACUGAUGCAUUCAACGAGCACCCGCUGGGCCGAGAGGUCCGGCUAAUCUUUGAACGUGCAUCGUGCUGGGGAUAGAUGAUUGCAAUUAUUCAUCUUCAACGAGGAAUUCCUAGUAAACGCAAGUCAUCAGCUUGCAUUGAUUACGUCCCUGCCCUUUGUACACACCGCCCGUCGCACCUACCGAUUGAAUGGUCCGGUGAGAUUCUCGGACGCGGACUUGCGAUGUUAAUUCGGAGCUUGACUGUGAAAGUUAAUUAAACCUUACCAUUUAGAGGAAGGUGAAGUCGUAACA